ACGUACGCUGGCGGCACGCCUAACACAUGCAAGUCGAACGAAGUAGCAAUACUUAGUGGCAGACGGGUGAGUAACAUGUAGGUAUCUGCCCUUUGGCCUGGAAUAACACGAGGAAACUUGUGCUAAUACCGGAUAAGUCUUUACGGAGAAAGCUUUAUGCACCAUUGGAUGAGCCUGCACUUGAUUAGUUUGUUGGUGGGGUAAUGGCCUACCAAGACUGUGAUCAAUAGCUGAUUUGAGAGGAUGAUCAGCCACAUUGGGACUGAGACACGGCCCAAACUCCUACGGGAGGCAGCAGUGGGGAAUCUUGCACAAUGGAGGAAACUCUGAUGCAGCGAUGCCGCGUGAGUGAAGAAGGCCCUUGGGUUGUAAAGCUCUUUCGUCGGGGAAGAAAAUGACUGUACCCGAAUAAGAAGGUCCGGCUAACUUCGUGCCAGCAGCCGCGGUAAUACGAAGGGACCUAGCGUAGUUCGGAAUUACUGGGCUUAAAGAGUUCGUAGGUGGUUGAAAAAGUUAGUGGUGAAAUCCCAGAGCUUAACUCUGGAACUGCCAUUAAAACUUUUCAGCUAGAGUAUGAUAGAGGAAAGCAGAAUUUCUAGUGUAGAGGUGAAAUUCGUAGAUAUUAGAAAGAAUACCAAUUGCGAAGGCAGCUUUCUGGAUCAUUACUGACACUGAGGAACGAAAGCAUGGGUAGCGAAGAGGAUUAGAUACCCUCGUAGUCCAUGCCGUAAACGAUGUGUGUUAGACGUUGGAAAUUUAUUUUCAGUGUCGCAGGGAAACCGAUAAACACACCGCCUGGGGAGUACGACCGCAAGGUUAAAACUCAAAUGAAUUGACGGGGACCCGCACAAGUAGUGGGGCAUGUGGUUUAAUUCGAAGAUACGCGCAGAACCUUACCAACACUUGACAUGUUCGUCGCGACUCUAAGAGAUUAGAGUUUUCGGUUCGGCCGGACGAAACACAGGUGCUGCAUGGCUGUCGUCAGCUCGUGUCGUGAGAUGUUGGGUUAAGUCCCGCAACGAGCGCAACCCUCACUUUUAGUUGCCAUCAUUAAGUUGGGCACUCUGAAAGAACUGCCAGUGAUAAGCUGGAGGAAGGUGGGGAUGACGUCAAGUCCUCAUGGCCCUUACGUGUUGGGCUACACACGUGCUACAAUGGUAUCUACAACAGGAAGCAAGACUGCGAAGUUAAGCAAAUCCCUAAAAGAUACCUCAGUUCGGAUUGCACUCUGCAACUCGAGUGCAUGAAGCUGGAAUUACUAGUAAUCGUGGAUCAGCGUGCCACGGUGAAUGCGUUCCCGGGUCUUGCACACACCGCC
rnacentral:rRNA from 1 species